GACGAACGCUGGCGGCGUGCUUAACACAUGCAAGUCGAACGGAAAGGCCUCUUUCGGGGGGUACUCGAGUGGCGAACGGGUGAGUAACACGUGAGUAACCUGCCCUUGACUUUGGGAUAACUUCAGGAAACUGGGGCUAAUACCGGAUAGGAGCUCCUGCUGCAUGGUGGGGGUUGGAAAGUUUCGGCGGUUGGGGAUGGACUCGCGGCUUAUCAGCUUGUUGGUGGGGUAGUGGCUUACCAAGGCUUUGACGGGUAGCCGGCCUGAGAGGGUGACCGGCCACAUUGGGACUGAGAUACGGCCCAGACUCCUACGGGAGGCAGCAGUGGGGAAUAUUGCACAAUGGGUGGAAGCCUGAUGCAGCAACGCUGUGUGCGGGAUGACGGCCUUCGGGUUGUAAACCGCUUUCGCUCAUGACGAAGCUUUGUGUGACGGUAGUGGGUAAAGAAGCACCGGCUAACUACGUG
rnacentral:rRNA from 1 species